rnacentral:rRNA from 1 species
CGGUAGUCCUAGCCGUAAACGAUGGGUACUAAGUGUAGGAGGUCAUUGACCCCUCCUGUGCUGUAGCUAACGCAUUAAGUACCCCGCCUGGGGACUACGGUCGCAAGACUAAAACUCAAUGUAAUUGACGGGGGCCCGCGACAAGCGGUGGAGCAUGUCGCUUAAUUCGAAGCAACGCGAAGAACCUUAUCCAGUGGCUUGACAUCCUCUGACAACUGUGGAAACACAGCGUUCUCUUAUGGGACAGAGUGACAGGUGCUGCAUGGCAGUCGUCAGCUCGUGUCGUGAGAUGUUGGGUUAAGUCCCGCAACGAGCGCAACCCCUAUCUUUAGUUGCCAGCGCGUAAUGGCGGGGACUCUAGAGAGACUGCCGGCUAUAAGCCGGAGGAAGGUGGGGAUGACGUCAUGCCUCAUGGCCCUUAUGCCCUGGGGCUGCACACGUGCGUACAAUGGUCGGGUACAACGAGUCGCGAGACCGCGAGGUGGAGCUAAUCUCUAAAAACC